CCACGCCCGCGGGACGCCGCCGCCGUUGCUCCCCGACCCCCUCGGGUGGCGCUGGCGCAGCAGCAGGCGGCUCCCGAGGGGGCGGGGAAACGUUCCUGUCCAACUGGACCGUCGGCGCGACCAAACGGAAUCCUGACUCUCAUGAAAAAAGAUUUACACAGACGAACUGACCCUGACAGAUAACAGGAACUGGACCUCAAAAUGUAUACAAAGAACGAAGUUCAAGAAACAGGUAACUGGAGGGGAAAUUUACUAAGAAAAUAACCAUUCUGUAAGUGUCCUGUUAUCUAAUUCUUUGCAAGAUGCUAUUCCUAGCCCUAAAGAUAAUAGUUUUUCCAUACAAAAAAGUUAGUCAGGAAAUACGUUGAAUAGCUUAACAACAUUUCCUGCUAAAAAAAUUUAUCAUUGCGUGAUAAACAUUUCCUGUUGGUGAGUUUUGUUGUAUCUACUGUCAUUUUGUUGUCUUCAUUGCUAUAAUUAACACACGUCUGUGCUGCUGAGUGUGCCCAUCCUGUCCAACAAAGGUUCAAGUAUGACUUGCAUGUGGUUGUGACAUAUGUGAUAUUUCAUAAUAUUCAUUUUCUUUAUAUCUUAAUUUUUGUCUGCAAUGAGAAAUGAAAUAUUAAAUCCAUUUGGAGUGUUGUGAGAGUUGGAUAACUCCAGAAGUAUGGAGGUUCCUCAGUGUUUCUUCUGAGUCAUUACCAAAAGUGAACUCAGUGAUUUCAGUAAAACCUCCAUAAUAGCUUUAACCAAGAAGGUAGGACUUCAUGUAGAUCUUAAUUAUCCAAGGCUAACUUGUAUUGAAAACUGCUUUGGAAGGUGAUCAAAAGAAAUGCCUUUUCCUGCCCAGCCUCAAGGAUAUUGUUAGUGUUUAACAAAAAAAUAAAAAAAAAAAUAAAGUUUGGCUAUGACUGGAAAUUUAGCUAUGCAAAAUGACAUCUUUUUAUUCAACAGAAUUUGUUAUGCAUAUUUGCAGUUAGUUAUAUUUGAUUACUUUAGUGAUAAAAGUGACAUCAGUUAUGUGACAGGUUGGAUCACAGAAACUCCCUCAAGACACUCACUAGAUGUGCUGGGAUACCAAUGAGAACAAACCCUGCUGCCAGAAAAGGCUUCCCUCCACUCCCGUCUUGCUGAGCUAGACACACCAGUCAGCUCCAGCACAGACUAAGAGGUUGGGCCACACCCCCCUGCAGUUCACAGAAACUAAGAUUCACUUAGCCCAGGGGCUUCUCAGUUAACAGGGACUUUCCCAGCACCCAGUAGUCAGUCUUUCUGGGAGCCUAAACCCCAGAUAAAUUCGUAAACUCAUAAGUUGUCCGCCCUCUAUAACACUGAUAGAGAGAUAUGCACAGCUGUUUGCUCCCCCAGGUAUUAAUUACUUACUCUGUGUUAAUUAAUAAACAAAAGUGAUUUUAUUAAGUAUAAAAAGUAGGAUUUAAGUGGUUUCAAGUGAUAACAGACAGAACAAGGUAAGUUACUAAGUAAAAUAAAUCAAAAUACGCACGUCUAACUUAAUACACUAAAGAUCUGGUUACAAAUACUAACUUCUCACGCAUGAUGUUAUUUCAGGUACAAUCCUUUUCAGACCAACAUUGUAGUUUAUGGCCUGGGUCCAGCAAUCACUCACACCCCUGUAGUUACAGUCCUUUGUUCCAGAUCCUUUCAGGCAUCUCUUUGGGGUGGAGAGGCCAUCAC